rnacentral:rRNA from 1 species
GAGUGCGCGUCCGUAGCAAUACGGAUGGCGCACGGCGCACGGGUGCGUAACACGUGGGCAAUCUGCCCUCCGAUGGGGAAUAACCCCGCGAAAGCGGGGCUAAUUCCGCAUAACAUUCCCUGGACUCCGGUUCGGGGAUUCAAAGCAGCAAUGCGUCGGAGGAGGAGCCCGCGCCCGAUUAGCUAGUUGGUGAGGUAACGGCUCACCAAGGCAAUGAUCGGUAGCUGGUCUGAGAGGAUGGCCAGCCACACUGGAACUGAGACACGGUCCAGACUCCUACGGGAGGCAGCAGUGGGGAAUCUUGCGCAAUGGGCGAAAGCCUGACGCAGCGACGCCGCGUGGGGGAUGAAGCUUUUCGGAGUGUAAACCCCUUUCGACCGGGACGAAUGCCCGCAAGGGAGUGACGGUACCGGUAGAAGAAGCCCCGGCUAACUACGUG